UCCACCGGAAAAAACACUCAAACCACCGAGGAGCCCACCCAACCUAUCUCUCCUGAAAGGAACCAAUCGAUUCCUCUAGCCCUACCUCUCUCCCGAUCUGGGCAUCGACGAUCGACAUAGCACUCAUCAUCGCCCGCCCCCUCUCUUCCCAUCUGGCGGGCAGCAGAGGAGACCGGCCUCCUCCAGAUCGGCCUCGAGGUCAACGACGCGGACAACCGACGGACUCGACGCUGCCACCCGGAGCUACAUCGCCCACGAUGUCGAGUAGGGCAUGUGCAAGAGCUCUUGGCCUUCCGGGGCUGCCGCCGCAGGACUUGUAUCGUCAGGCCGUCGUGGUGUCGAUCCAGCCGCCGGCCACAUAUGGGUCUUCAGGUCGGGUGCGGCAACUUGGGACAUGAUAGUAGCUUUUGUGGUAGGGCAUACCCAGGAGGCGUGACCUGCUGGUAGCUGUCCAGGGUCUUCUAUAUCAGAAACAGAACAAUGUGGAGCAAAGGAUUGUAGAUAUGGUUUACAAGCAAGCACCGGAAGAGCUUCUUCAGAUGUUAAAUAUUUGGUAGUAAAUGUCUGGUGUUUUGGGUCAUGGUGCCCUCCGUCAAGAAGGUCUGGCAGGUAGUGCUUGGUCGUCAAACGGCCAAGGGCCUCGCAGAGGUUGCCGGGGAGGACACGCUCCAGUGUGUCGAGUGAGAGAUCGACACCAUCGCUCAAUGAAGCGCACGCCUGUGGUCAAGCUACCGUAAACGUUGUUAUUCAGGAUCUACGUUUAAUCUGGUCAGCCAACGUGGUCACUUUCUUCAUAUUCUGCAGUGUGUCCUGCUUCCACCGGGAUUUUUUGACAAUUUUUUUAUGUGGAUGCACAUGUAUGUGUACUGCUGUGCAAAUGUGCUGAUUUUUCUUGUUAAUUGGAGAAGUAUGUAAAUAGUCGCUAUUUGGUUGUUCUUUUU